AUACGGAGGGUGCGAGCGUUAAUCGGAAUUACUGGGCGUAAAGCGUACGUAGGCGGUUGGUUAAGUUAGAUGUGAAAGCCCCGGGCUUAACCUGGGAACUGCAUUUAAAACUGGCGAACUAGAGUUGAGUAGAGGGGAGUGGAAUUUCAGGUGUAGCGGUGAAAUGCGUAGAGAUCUGAAGGAACACCAGUGGCGAAGGCGACUCCCUGGACUCGAACUGACGCUGAGGUACGAAAGCGUGGGUAGCAAACGGGAUUAGAUACCCCAGUAGUCC
rnacentral:rRNA from 1 species